GAUCAUGGCUCAGGAUGAACGCUAGCGACAGGCUUAACACAUGCAAGUCGAGGGGCAGCACGGGAGUAGCAAUACUUGGUGGCGACCGGCGCACGGGUGAGUAACGCGUAUGCAACCUACCUAUCAGAGGGGAAUAACCCGGCGAAAGUCGGACUAAUACCGCAUAAAACAGGGGCACCGCAUGGUGAUAUUUGUUAAAGAAAUUCGCUGAUAGAUGGGCAUGCGUUCCAUUAGGUAGUUGGUGAGGUAACGGCUCACCAAGCCGACGAUGGAUAGGGGAACUGAGAGGUUGGUCCCCCACACUGGUACUGAGACACGGACCAGACUCCUACGGGAGGCAGCAGUGAGGAAUAUUGGUCAAUGGGCGGGAGCCUGAACCAGCCAAGUCGCGUGAAAGGAAGAAGGAUCUAUGGUUCGUAAACUUCUUUUGCAGGGGAAUAAAGUGCAGGACGUGUCCUGUUUUGUAUGUACCCUGAGAAUAAGGAUCGGCUAACUCCGUGCCAGCAGCCGC
rnacentral:rRNA from 1 species